rnacentral:rRNA from 2 species
GGGAUGCCUAUACAUGCAGUCGAACGAACUCUGGUAUUGAUUGGUGCUUGCAUCAUGAUUUACAUUUGAGUGAGUGGCGAACUGGUGAGUAACACGUGGGAAACCUGCCCAGAAGCGGGGGAUAACACCUGGAAACAGAUGCUAAUACCGCAUAACAACUUGGACCGCAUGGUCCGAGUUUGAAAGAUGGCUUCGGCUAUCACUUUUGGAUGGUCCCGCGGCGUAUUAGCUAGAUGGUGGGGUAACGGCUCACCAUGGCAAUGAUACGUAGCCGACCUGAGAGGGUAAUCGGCCACAUUGGGACUGAGACACGGCCCAAACUCCUACGGGAGGCAGCAGUAGGGAAUCUUCCACAAUGGACGAAAGUCUGAUGGAGCAACGCCGCGUGAGUGAAGAAGGGUUUCGGCUCGUAAAACUCUGUUGUUAAAGAAGAACAUAUCUGAGAGUAACUGUUCAGGUAUUGACGGUAUUUAACCAGAAAGCCACGGCUAACUACGUGCCAGCAGCCGCGGUAAUACGUAGGUGGCAAGCGUUGUCCGGAUUUAUUGGGCGUAAAGCGAGCGCAGGCGGUUUUUUAAGUCUGAUGUGAAAGCCUUCGGCUCAACCGAAGAAGUGCAUCGGAAACUGGGAAACUUGAGUGCAGAAGAGGACAGUGGAACUCCAUGUGUAGCGGUGAAAUGCGUAGAUAUAUGGAAGAACACCAGUGGCGAAGGCGGCUGUCUGGUCUGUAACUGACGCUGAGGCUCGAAAGUAUGGGUAGCAAACAGGAUUAGAUACCCUGGUAGUCCAUACCGUAAACGAUGAAUGCUAAGUGUUGGAGGGUUUCCGCCCUUCAGUGCUGCAGCUAACGCAUUAAGCAUUCCGCCUGGGGAGUACGGCCGCAAGGCUGAAACUCAAAGGAAUUGACGGGGGCCCGCACAAGCGGUGGAGCAUGUGGUUUAAUUCGAAGCUACGCGAAGAACCUUACCAGGUCUUGACAUACUAUGCAAAUCUAAGAGAUUAGACGUUCCCUUCGGGGACAUGGAUACAGGUGGUGCAUGGUUGUCGUCAGCUCGUGUCGUGAGAUGUUGGGGUUAAGUCCCGCAACGAGCGCAACCCUUAUUAUCAGUUGCCAGCAUUAAGUUGGGCACUCUGGGUGAGACUGCCGGUGACAAACCGGAGGAAAGGGGGGGGGAUGACGUUCAAAUCAUUCAUGCCCCUUAUUGACCUGGGGCUACACCCUGGCUACAAUGGGAUGGG